rnacentral:rRNA from 1 species
CACCGGUGGCGAAGGCGGCCUGCUGGACCAAAACUGACGCUGAGGCUCGAAAGCGUAGGUAGCAAACAGGAUUAGAUACCCUGGUAGUCCACGCUGUAAACGAUGAAUACUAGGUGCUGGGAGGCAUAAGCCUUUCGGUGCCGUCGCAAACGCAUUAAGUAUUCCACCUGGGGAGUACGUUCGCAAGAAU